rnacentral:rRNA from 1 species
CGGAACACGUACAGAACCUUCCUUUAAGCGGGGGAUAGCCCAGAGAAAUUUGGAUUAAUACCCCAUAGUAUAGUUGUCUGGCAUCAGAUGGUUAUUAAAGAUUUAUCACUUAAAGAUGGCUGUGCGGCUGAUUAGGUAGUUGGUGUAGGUAACGGCUCACCAAGCCUUCGAUCAGUAACUGGUGUGAGAGCACGACCAGUCACACGGGCACUGAGACACGGGCCCG